UGGUGGCGAGUGGCGAACGGGUGAGUAAUACAUCGGAACAUGUCCUGUAGUGGGGGAUAGCCCGGCGAAAGCCGGAUUAAUACCGCAUACGAUCUACGGAUGAAAGCGGGGGACUUCGGGCCUCGCGCUAUAGGGUUGGCCGAUGGCUGAUUAGCUAGUUGGUGGGGUAAAAGCCUACCAAGGCGACGAUCAGUAGCUGGUCUGAGAGGACGACCAGCCACACUGAGACUGAGACACGGCCCAGACUCCUACGGGAGGCAGCAGUGGGGAAUUUUGGACAAUGGGCGAAAGCCUGAUCCAGCAAUGCCGCGUGUGUGAAGAAGGCCUUCGGGUUGUAAAGCACUUUUGUCCGGAAAGAAAUCCUUGGCUCUAAUACAGUCGGGGGAUGACGGUACUGGAAGAAUAAGCACCGGCUAACUACGUGCCAGCAGCCGCGGUAAUACGUAGGGUGCAAGCGUUAAUCGGAAUUACUGGGCGUAAAGCGUGCGCAGGCGGUUUGCUAAGACCGAUGUGAAAUCCCCGGGCUCAACCUGGGAACUGCAUUGGUGACUGGCAGGCUAGAGUAUGGCAGAGGGGGGUAGAAUUCCACGUGUAGCAGUGAAAUGCGUAGAGAUGUGGAGGAAUACCGAUGGCGAAGGCAGCCCCCUGGGCCAAUACUGACGCUCAUGCACGAAAGCGUGGGGAGCAAACAGGAUUAGAUACCCUGGUAGUCCACGCCCUAAACGAUGUCAACUAGUUGUUGGGGAUUCAUUUCCUUAGUAA
rnacentral:rRNA from 1 species